rnacentral:rRNA from 1 species
CAAGGAUGAAAGACGGUUUCGGCUGUCACUUACAGAUGGACCCGCGGCGCAUUAGCUAGUUGGUGAGGUAACGGCUCACCAAGGCGACGAUGCGUAGCCGACCUGAGAGGGUGAUCGGCCACACUGGGACUGAGACACGGCCCAGACUCCUACGGGAGGCAGCAGUAGGGAAUCUUCCGCAAUGGACGAAAGUCUGACGGAGCAACGCCGCGUGAGUGAUGAAGGUUUUCGGAUCGUAAAGCUCUGUUGUUAGGGAAGAACAAGUGCAAGAGUAACUGCUUGCACCUUGACGGUACCUAACCAGAAAGCCACGGCUAACUACGUGCCAGCAGCCGCGGUAAUACGUAGGUGGCAAGCGUUGUCCGGAAUUAUUGGGCGUAAAGGGCUCGCAGGCGGUUUCUUAAGUCUGAUGUGAAAGCCCCCGGCUCAACCGGGGAGGGUCAUUGGAAACUGGGAAACUUGAGUGCAGAAGAGGAGAGUGGAAUUCCACGUGUAGCGGUGAAAUGCGUAGAGAUGUGGAGGAACACCAGUGGCGAAGGCGACUCUCUGGUCUGUAACUGACGCUGAGGAGCGAAAGCGUGGGGAGCGAACAGGAUUAGAUACCCUGGUAGUCCACGCCGUAAACGAUGAGUGCUAAGUGUUAGGGGGUUUCCGCCCCUUAGUGCUGCAGCUAACGCAUUAAGCACUCCGCCUGGGGAGUACGGUCGCAAGACUGAAACUCAAAGGAAUUGACGGGGGCCCGCACAAGCGGUGGAGCAUGUGGUUUAAUUCGAAGCAACGCGAAGAACCUUACCAGGUCUUGACAUCCUCUGACAACCCUAGAGAUAGGGCUUUCCCUUCGGGGACAGAGUGACAGGUGGUGCAUGGUUGUCGUCAGCUCGUGUCGUGAGAUGUUGGGUUAAGUCCCGCAACGAGCGCAACCCUUGAUCUUAGUUGCCAGCAUUCAGUUGGGCACUCUAAGGUGACUGCCGGUGACAAACCGGAGGAAGGUGGGGAUGACGUCAAAUCAUCAUGCCCCUUAUGACCUGGGCUACACACGUGCUACAAUGGACAGAACAAAGGGCUGCGAGACCGCAAGGUUUAGC